UCUAAAAUAAUUUUCGUUUCUCCUCAUUAGGCAUUCUCUCUCUCCAUUGUUUUCCCUGCUUCCCAAGUCUCCCGACUCUCUCAAUUGGACCCUCUCUGAAUUGAAACCUCCAUCGUCUUUCCCUCAAACAUCCCUCCUUCCCAAGUUCCCCUCUCUCUCAAGUCCGCCGCAGUUCAAUGGGUUGCAUCAUAAGGCGUCGACCUCGCUAUUUCUUUAAUCAAAUUGCCAAGCUCCGUCCUUUAGGUUUGAUUUUCUCCUAAUUUUUAGGGUUUUUUUAAAUUACUCGAAUCAAUUUUAGGGUAUAAUUUAAAGUACCAAUCGAAGAGAGUGCAUUGGCCAAUCGAAGAAAUCGAAGUAUGAAACCCUAGAUCCGAGAAGAAAAUCAAGAGCACAAAGCAUGAAACCUUAGAUUUGAAAAGAAAUCAAGACCAGUAAAAAGGCCGAUAAAGAAAGGGAAAAGGAGAAGAAGAGACUCUGAAUUAGUUGAACUUGUUCUUCAUUUGAAGCUUAAAAAGCCUAAAUUAAUGGAUAAGAGGUGGAUGAAGAAGAUAAAGCGCAAAACCCUAAUUCACUUUCGAAUUUUCAUUUUUUUUACAGCCGUUGAAAUAUGUUUUCGUUUUUUUAAUGGAUGAACUUUGGUAUGGCUAUGAAUGGUUGUGAAUGGUUGUGAUUUGGUCACUCGUGCGUGAAUUGGCCAGGUUUGUUUUCAUUGUUUAGUUCAGUGAUUGAUUUCAUGUUUGUUUGCAAAAUUCAGUUUUUUUUUUCUUUACGAAGUUAGUAGGAUUAAUUUUGGUUGACUGAUCCUAACUUAGGGUUCAGCUUUUGCAGAACUUCUGGGACUACAUAUGCAAACAUUUUGAGUGAGUAGGUGGCUAUCUGUCUGUUGGCAGAGAUGCUUGAUAGAGCUUGGAGAUUACAACAGCAACAUAAGAGUAUUAGUCAGUGAAGAUUGACACACAAACUCUUUUGGUAACAACUUCUCUGCAAUGUGUUGUGUAAGUUAUACAAUGAUGUUGAGAAGCAUCAAAGCAACUAUAUAUGGCUGCAAAUUUGCAAUGUGGAUGUCGAAAUAAUUUAUUAUGGGUUGCUAUCUUGCCUACAGAGUCAUUAAUGUUCUCUUGCAUUGUUAUCUGGUUAUGGUUGACAAAAGCUAUUUAAAUGAAACAUGGGUAACCAUACUAUUUACCUAACUAGCGAGCUAAAAAAUGAAGUAUAGAACAACAACCACCUUAACAUCAAGCAACCUGUAUAAUACCUAGCAUGUUUGUUUACGAGCAAUUAUUACUCUGCUAGUAACUUAUAACUCGUGUUCGGUUAUCUAAAAUCCCUUAUUCAACAACCUUUAUACUGCUAGUAACUUAUAAUUAACUCGUUUAAUGUGUAGUUUAUAUAAUGAAUUUGAAGGAUGCAGCAAAUAGAGCUAAAAAUGACAAAGAUUGUAUAGCUACUUUCAAGGAGAAAGCAAAGGAGUCGUAAGAAGUAAAAACAUUUCUGAAAUCCUGGGAUGAAAGUUUUCAAUUUUUCAAAAGUUGGAGAUUGUCGAUGACUAGUGACCGACGUAGUUCGAGUUGAUCCUAAUUUCGAAAUGGAUUACCUUUUCUGGUUCUAUAGUACGAAGAAAUAUGGAUAAGAUAUAGAACCCUCACGUGUUUCUAGAUGUGUCAACUGGUGGGGAUCCUGUCCAAAGAAACGUAAUAGAGGUUCUACAGGAUAAAGAAAUAUGGAUAAGAUAUAGAACCCUCAUGUGUUUUUAGAUGUAUCAACUGGUGGGGAUCUUGUCCAAAGAAUCGUAAUAGAGCUUUUGCCUGAUUUGGUUACUAAUAAAUCUGUAGAAAACUUAUGGGUACUCUACACAGGUGUGAAAGGUGUUGGAGGUACUAUGACGAAACCUUUACACUUCAAGAGAACGAAUUUCCACCUCAUAAUUAAAGGAUUUAUGGCCCAAGUACUUCCUCUUUUACCAUUAUCAUUUUUGGUUGAUCUUAUCUAUUUGUAUAGGCUUUAUGCUUGGAUCUCUCAGUUUAGAAGGGCUUGCAACUUUUAGCUUACCAAGAACAAAUUAUCUUUGUUUCUAUCUUGUAUUAAAUCUUCGUACCCCGCUCAAAUACUUAGCGAGAACAAAUUAGCUUUAUCUUUAUACCUCGCUCAAAUACUUUAGAGAUAUUGAGUCAGCGAUGUUUGGGUGACAAUCCUUUGUAAGAAGCUUGAUUGAUUGGUGGCUCUGGGCAAGUUGUGGAAGGUGAAAUUCCACAAAUUGGGUAUCACCAUUUGCUUCUUCACUCUGACCCCCUAUUUUUCUCUUUUUAUUUUGAGUAAUUUGACUGCUGAGGUGUUGCAGAUUCUUGUGGAGAGAAGAAAUAUCCGGAUACAAGGAAAUAGAUCCAACUAUACAUUUGUCGAUGCUACCUGAUUUGGGUUCUAAUAUCAAUGAUGCCCUAAAGCAAGGGGAUUGAAUCUCUAAUUUUCGUAAAGAUAAGGUAUAAUGGAAACUCAGUGAUCGGUCAUAGAGAAGCAAACUAUGUCAUUUUGAAACAGAAGCAGAAGGGCAAAUUUUGUCUCGAUCUGCAAUAAACCAAUCUAAAGUGGAAGACUCUUGCUACCAAUCUUGAGGAAUUUCGUAAAGUUUCGGAGAAAUAUUCAUCUUGCCAAGUUAGAGUUAAGGCAGCAGUGCAUGAGACUAUUGAAACUGACGUAAUUCAUGUACUUGAGGAAGUGCCGAAAAAAAAGGAGAGAGAUGUGAAGUGACGCCAGAGACAAGAGGCUUUUCUCAAUAGUUCUUACACCUAUGCAGCUGCAGUCACUCGUUCUUGUCGCACACGCAGACUUGCAAAAUAGACAUUUGGUAUGCUGUGAACAUUCUUCACUACUAGAACUAUCACUUGUUGUAAAUAAUAUAUUCACGAGUAAAUGGCGCAAAGUUUGCCUCUUCUUAUCAAAUGUUUAUAAAUUUUCUCACUUGUACUUUGUAAG